UGGGAGCUGUAGUUGUAGCAUGCACAAUAAGGAGCGUUCCAUGAAACCCCAACGUGCUCCGAAGGGCGAGACCAGCUUAGACACACACUGCUGUGCCAGUCACAAGCCUUCCUCUUGCAACCCUCCCCUCCAUCCAUACUUCCACUACAAAAGAGCAAGAGCAGCCCUAUCGUUCAGAGUAAAAGCUCUGUAAGAGCUACUAAAACGUGAAACCGAUCGACAGUAAAACCGUGAGAGAGAGAGAGAGAGAAAGAGAGUCAUUUAUUCUAGAGACGGAGGCGGAAGGACCCAGGUCAUAUCAGAAUGUGCGGAGCCGCCACUUUUAAUUUGGAAAUAUAAACAACUGUCUAGGUGAGCGAUUUACCUUCGACCCUCAUUUAGCGUACCCUAGAACCUGCCAUAGGAGCUUAUAACAACAGACAGCACCAAGCCCGGCUGUCUCCAGAAUCAUUGGAGGUGUUGUCUUCACGUCUACAGCCGGUGGAAAAGAAUCGGGCCGGGACAGAAUUCAUGUUCAUGGAUGAGAUUAUUAACGUUGAAGCAAGGCAGGGCCGAGAGAAAUGAGGCUGCUGGAGAAAUUUCAAAUGAGAAACAAGCACGACACAUGUCUGGAGAGCAGCAAAACUUUUAUUAUGCUGCAAUCACCGCUUCCGAUUCUUCUGGUCAAGCAUAUGUGGGUCUGACUGUCUCUCAGCAACCACUGCAUAUGAUGUGACAGCAUGGAGCUUCUUUAA